UUAAGCGACUAAGCGUACACGGUGGAUGCCCUGGCAGUCAGAGGCGAUGAAGGACGUGCUAAUCUGCGAUAAGCGUCGGUAAGGUGAUAUGAACCGUUAUAACCGGCGAUUUCCGAAUGGGGAAACCCAGUGUGAUUCGUCACACUAUCAUUAACUGAAUCCAUAGGUUAAUGAGGCGAACCGGGGGAACUGAAACAUCUAAGUACCCCGAGGAAAAGAAAUCAACCGAGAUUCCCCCAGUAGCGGCGAGCGAACGGGGAGCAGCCCAGAGCCUGAAUCAGUGUGUGUGUUAGUGGAAGCGUCUGGAAAGGCGUGCGAUACAGGGUGACAGCCCCGUACACAAAAAUGCACAUGCUGUGAGCUCGAUGAGUAGGGCGGGACACGUGGUAUCCUGUCUGAAUAUGGGGGACCAUCCUCCAAGGCUAAAUACUCCUGACUGACCGAUAGUGAACCAGUACCGUGAGGGAAAGGCGAAAAGAACCCCGGCGAGGGGAGUGAAAAAGAACCUGAAACCGUGUACGUACAAGCAGUGGGAGCACGCUUAGGCGUGUGACUGCGUACCUUUUGUAUAAUGGGUCAGCGACUUAUAUUCUGUAGCAAGGUUAACCGAAUAGGGGAGCCGAAGGGAAACCGAGUCUUAACUGGGCGUUAAGUUGCAGGGUAUAGACCCGAAACCCGGUGAUCUAGCCAUGGGCAGGUUGAAGGUUGGGUAACACUAACUGGAGGACCGAACCGACUAAUGUUGAAAAAUUAGCGGAUGACUUGUGGCUGGGGGUGAAAGGCCAAUCAAACCGGGAGAUAGCUGGUUCUCCCCGAAAGCUAUUUAGGUAGCGCCUCGUGAAUUCAUCUCCGGGGGUAGAGCACUGUUUCGGCAAGGGGGUCAUCCCGACUUACCAACCCGAUGCAAACUGCGAAUACCGGAGAAUGUUAUCACGGGAGACACACGGCGGGUGCUAACGUCCGUCGUGAAGAGGGAAACAACCCAGACCGCCAGCUAAGGUCCCAAAGUCAUGGUUAAGUGGGAAACGAUGUGGGAAGGCCCAGACAGCCAGGAUGUUGGCUUAGAAGCAGCCAUCAUUUAAAGAAAGCGUAAUAGCUCACUGGUCGAGUCGGCCUGCGCGGAAGAUGUAACGGGGCUAAACCAUGCACCGAAGCUGCGGCAGCGACGCUGAUGCGUUGUUGGGUAGGGGAGCGUUCUGUAAGCCUGCGAAGGUGUGCUGUGAGGCAUGCUGGAGGUAUCAGAAGUGCGAAUGCUGACAUAAGUAACGAUAAAGCGGGUGAAAAGCCCGCUCGCCGGAAGACCAAGGGUUCCUGUCCAACGUUAAUCGGGGCAGGGUGAGUCGACCCCUAAGGCGAGGCCGAAAGGCGUAGUCGAUGGGAAACAGGUUAAUAUUCCUGUACUUGGUGUUACUGCGAAGGGGGACGGAGAAGGCUAUGUUGGCCGGGCGACGGUUGUCCCGGUUUAAGCGUGUAGGCUGGUUUUCCAGGCAAAUCCGGAAAAUCAAGGCUGAGGCGUGAUGACGAGGCACUACGGUGCUGAAGCAACAAAUGCCCUGCUUCCAGGAAAAGCCUCUAAGCAUCAGGUAACAUCAAAUCGUACCCCAAACCGACACAGGUGGUCAGGUAGAGAAUACCAAGGCGCUUGAGAGAACUCGGGUGAAGGAACUAGGCAAAAUGGUGCCGUAACUUCGGGAGAAGGCACGCUGAUAUGUAGGUGAAGCGACUUGCUCGUGGAGCUGAAAUCAGUCGAAGAUACCAGCUGGCUGCAACUGUUUAUUAAAAACACAGCACUGUGCAAACACGAAAGUGGACGUAUACGGUGUGACGCCUGCCCGGUGCCGGAAGGUUAAUUGAUGGGGUCAGCGCAAGCGAAGCUCUUGAUCGAAGCCCCGGUAAACGGCGGCCGUAACUAUAACGGUCCUAAGGUAGCGAAAUUCCUUGUCGGGUAAGUUCCGACCUGCACGAAUGGCGUAAUGAUGGCCAGGCUGUCUCCACCCGAGACUCAGUGAAAUUGAACUCGCUGUGAAGAUGCAGUGUACCCGCGGCAAGACGGAAAGACCCCGUGAACCUUUACUAUAGCUUGACACUGAACAUUGAGCCUUGAUGUGUAGGAUAGGUGGGAGGCUUUGAAGUGUGGACGCCAGUCUGCAUGGAGCCGACCUUGAAAUACCACCCUUUAAUGUUUGAUGUUCUAACGUGGACCCGUGAUCCGGGUUGCGGACAGUGUCUGGUGGGUAGUUUGACUGGGGCGGUCUCCUCCUAAAGAGUAACGGAGGAGCACGAAGGUUGGCUAAUCCUGGUCGGACAUCAGGAGGUUAGUGCAAUGGCAUAAGCCAGCUUGACUGCGAGCGUGACGGCGCGAGCAGGUGCGAAAGCAGGUCAUAGUGAUCCGGUGGUUCUGAAUGGAAGGGCCAUCGCUCAACGGAUAAAAGGUACUCCGGGGAUAACAGGCUGAUACCGCCCAAGAGUUCAUAUCGACGGCGGUGUUUGGCACCUCGAUGUCGGCUCAUCACAUCCUGGGGCUGAAGUAGGUCCCAAGGGUAUGGCUGUUCGCCAUUUAAAGUGGUACGCGAGCUGGGUUUAGAACGUCGUGAGACAGUUCGGUCCCUAUCUGCCGUGGGCGCUGGAGAACUGAGGGGGCUGCUCCUAGUACGAGAGGACCGGAGUGGACGCAUCACUGGUGUUCGGGUUGUCAUGCCAAUGGCACUGCCCGGUAGCUAAAUGCGGAAGAGAUAAGUGCUGAAAGCAUCUAAGCACGAAACUUGCCCCGAGAUGAGUUCUCCCUGACUCCUUGAGAGUCCUGAAGGAACGUUGAAGACGACGACGUUGAUAGGCCGGGUGUGUAAGCGCAGCGAUGCGUUGAGCUAACCGGUACUAAUGAACCGUGAGGCUUAACCUU
rnacentral:rRNA from 1 species